GGGCCCAGCACCAGGCCUACCCCGUCGCCGCCGGGCCUCCCCCUGCCGCGCCCUGGGAUCCGCAGGCUAUGACGCACGCCUUCGCCAACCUCCAGAUGCAGCCGCCGCCGACCAGCAACGAGUGGUACAUGGAUACGGGUGCAACUUCCCACGUCGCCAGCUCCUCCGGACAUGGCAACGGGGAAACUCAUCAUGAGGUCCAGUAGCUCCGGAGAUCUUUACCCUUUCUUGCACAAUAAUGGCGGCUCCAUGGCACUCUCCGUUUUGAGCUCCGGCGAACUAUGGCACUUGCGGCUGGGCCAUCCUAGCCAUGUUUCCCUUUCUGCUUUAAUGAACAACUUUUUAGAUUCAUGUAAUAAAUCGCAAGGUUCUUCGGUGUGUGAAUCUUGUAAAAUAGGCAAACAACCUCGACUACCGUUUCCCCAUUCCACUUCGUUUACUACAGAACCUUUUCAACUUA